CAAUAGCGUAUAUUAACGUUGUUGCAGUUAAAAAGCUCGUAGUUGGAUUUCUUGAGGGAGCGUCGGCCCGUAUUUACGAGUGCGUGACGUCUCUGUCCAUCCUUGCGGGAAGGCACGGCAUUGAUUUGUUGUGUCGGAUCGCAUCAUUUACUGUGAAAAAAUUAGAGUGUUCAAAGCAGGCUUUCGCUUGAAUACAUUAGCAUGGAAUAAUAAGAUAGGACUUUGGUGCUAUUUUGUUGGUUGAGCCUAAAGUAAUGAUUAAUAGGGAUAGUUGGGGGCACCUGUAUUGCGUUGUCAGAGGUGAAAUUCUUGGAUUUACGCAAGACAAACAGCUGCGAAAGCGUCUGCCAAGGAUGUUUUCAUUA
rnacentral:rRNA from 1 species